UACGUAGGGGGCUAGCGUUGUCCGGAUUUAUUGGGCGUAAAGAGCGUGUAGGCGGCCAGGUAGGUCUGCUGUGAAAACUCGAGGCUCAACCUCGAGACGUCGGCGGAAACCAUCUGGCUAGAGUCCGGAAGAGGAGAGUGGAAUUCCUGGUAUAGCGGUGAAAUGCGCAGAUAUCAGGAAGAACACCCGUGGCGAAGGCGGCUCUCUGGGACGGUACUGACACUGAGGCGCGAAAGCGUGGGGAGCGAUCCGG
rnacentral:rRNA from 1 species